rnacentral:rRNA from 1 species
GACGAACGCUGGCGGCGUGCUUAACACAUGCAAGUCGAACGGAAAGGCCCCUUUGGGGGUACUCGAGUGGCGAACGGGUGAGUAACACGUGAGUAACCUGCCCUUGACUUCGGGAUAACUUCAGGAAACUGGGGCUAAUACCGGAUAGGAAUCCUUGCUGCAUGGUGGGGGUUGGAAAGCUUCGGCGGUUUUGGAUGGACUCGCGGCUUAUCAGCUUGUUGGUGGGGUAGUGGCUUACCAAGGCUUUGACGGGUAGCCGGCCUGAGAGGGCGACCGGCCACAUUGGGACUGAGAUACGGCCCAGACUCCUACGGGAGGCAGCAGGGGGGAAUAUUGCACAAUGGGCGGAAGCCUGAUGCAGCAACGCCGCGGGCGGGAGGACGGCCUUCGGGUUGGAAACCGCUUUCAGCAGGGGCGAAGCUUGUGGUGACGGUACCUGCAGAAGAAGCACCGGCUAACUACGUG